rnacentral:rRNA from 1 species
AUUGAACGCUGGCGGCAGGCCUAACACAUGCAAGUCGAGCGGCUGAAGGGAGCUUGCUCCUGGAUUCAGCGGCGGACGGGUGAGUAAUGCCUAGGAAUCUGCCUGGUAGUGGGGGAUAACGUCCUGAAACGGGCGCUAAUACCGCAUACGUCCUUAGGGAGAAAGUGGGGGAUCUUCGGACCUCACGCUAUCAGAUGAGCCUAGGUCGGAUUAGCUAGUUGGUGGGGUAAAGGCCUACCAAGGCGACGAUCCGUAACUGGUCUGAGAGGAUGAUCAGUCACACUGGAACUGAGACACGGUCCAGACUCCUACGGGAGGCAGCAGUGGGGAAUAUUGGACAAUGGGCGAAAGCCUGAUCCAGCCAUGCCGCGUGUGUGAAGAAGGUCUUCGGAUUGUAAAGCACUUUAAGUUGGGAGGAAGGGCAGUAAGUUAAUACCUUGCUGUUUUGACGGUACCAACAGAAUAAGCACCGGCUAACUUCGUG